GACGAACGCUGGCGGCGUGCCUAAUACAUGCAAGUCGAACGAACUCUGGUAUUGAUUGGUGCUUGCAUCAUGAUUUACAUUUGAGCGAGUGGCGAACUGGUGAGUAACACGUGGGAAACCUGCCCAGAAGCGGGGGAUAACACCUGGAAACAGAUGCUAAUACCGCAUAACAACUUGGACAGCAUGGUCCGAGCUUGAAAGAUGGCUUCGGCUAUCACUUUUGGAUGUUCCCGCGGCGUAUUUGCUAGAUGGUGGGGUAACGGUUCACCAUGGCAAUGAUACGUAGCCGACCUGAGAGGGUAAUCGGCCACAUUGGGACUGAGACACGGCCCAAACUCCUACGGGAGGCAGCAGUAGGGAAUCUUCCACAAUGGACGAAAGUCUGAUGGAGCAACGCCGCGUGAGUGAAGAAGGGUUUCGGCUCGUAAAACUCUGUUGUUAAAGAAGAACAUAUCUGAGAGUAACUGUUCAGGUAUUGACGGUAUUUAACCAGAAAGCCACGGCUAACUACGUGCCAGCCGCCGCGGUAA
rnacentral:rRNA from 1 species